GAGUUUGAUCCUGGCUCAGAACGAACGCUGGCGGCGUGGAUAAGACAUGCAAGUCGAACGAGAGAAUUGCUAGCUUGCUAAUAAUUCUCUAGUGGCGCACGGGUGAGUAACACGUGAGUAACCUGCCCCCGAGAGCGGGAUAGCCCUGGGAAACUGGGAUUAAUACCGCAUAGUAUCGAAAGAUUAAAGCAGCAAUGCGCUUGGGGAUGGGCUCGCGGCCUAUUAGUUAGUUGGUGAGGUAACGGCUCACCAAGGCGAUGACGGGUAGCCGGUCUGAGAGGAUGUCCGGCCACACUGGAACUGAGACACGGUCCAGACACCUACGGGUGGCAGCAGUCGAGAAUCAUUCACAAUGGGGGAAACCCUGAUGGUGCGACGCCGCGUGGGGGAAUGAAGGUCUUCGGAUUGUAAACCCCUGUCAUGUGGGAGCAAAUUAAAAAGAUAGUACCACAAGAGGAAGAGACGGCUAACUCUGUGCCAG
rnacentral:rRNA from 1 species